UACGUAGGGUGCAAGCGUUAUCCGGAAUUAUUGGGCGUAAAGAGCUCGUAGGCGGUUUGUCGCGUCUGCCGUGAAAGUCCGGGCUCGAACUCCGGUAGUCUGCGGUGGGUACGGGCAGACUAGAGUGAUGUAGGGGAGACUGGAAUUCCUGGUGUAGCGGUGAAAUGCGUAGAUAUCGAGAGGAACACCUGCGGCGAAGGCGGGUUGCUGGGCUGACACUGACGCUGAGGCGCGAAAGCUAGGGGAGCGAACGGG
rnacentral:rRNA from 1 species